GAUAUCCUACGGGACGCAGCAGUGGGGAAUAUUGCACAAUGGGCGCAAGCCUGAUGCAGCGACGCCGCGUGCGGGAUGGAGGCCUUCGGGUUGUAAACCGCUUUUGUUCAAGGGCAAGGCACGGUCUUUGGCCGUGUUGAGUGGAUUGUUCGAAUAAGCACCGGCUAACUACGUGCCAGCAGCCGCGGUAAUACGUAGGGUGCAAGCGUUAUCCGGAUUUAUUGGGCGUAAAGGGCUCGUAGGCGGUUCGUCUCGUCCGGUGUGCACGUCCAUCGCUUAACGGUGGCUCCUCGCCGGGUAC
rnacentral:rRNA from 1 species